AAGCUAAGUUUCUCCUCCAAAUUCCAUCUCUCUCUUUUUUCCUCCACCAUCUAGGUCCCACAAUUUUGUACUAAGUUCAGAAAAUAGCAGGUCAACACUAGUGGUAGUCCUAACUUCAAGUUCUUUGGGAGAUUACAAAGAGUUCGUUAGGAGAUUACAAGGAUAGAAAAGUUUCAAAUGUGAGUUUUUCUAUUAACCAUAUCCUUGUUUAAAUUAGGGUUGUUAUGCAUGUUAAUUACUAAAAUGUUUAGUUGCAAUUAGUAAAAUUUUAUCCUUAUUUUGUUGCGCAUGUCUACCAUUUCUAUCAUUAGGGUGGUCCUAGAUCAUCUUGAGGAUAACCCAUGAUACACUGU
rnacentral:lncRNA from 1 species